GACGGAGGAUGCAAGUGUUAUCCGGAAUCACUGGGCGUAAAGCGUCUGUAGGUGGUUUAAUAAGUCAACUGUUAAAUCUUGAGGCUCAACCUCAAAAUCGCAGUCGAAACUAUUAGGCUAGAGUAUAGUAGGGGUAAAGGGAAUUUCCAGUGGAGCGGUGAAAUGCGUAGAGAUUGGAAAGAACACCAUGGCGAAGGCACUUUACUGGGCUAUUACUAACACUCAGAGACGAAAGCUAGGGUAGCAAAUGGG
rnacentral:rRNA from 1 species